GAUGAAGAACGUAGCGAAAUGCGAUAAGUAAUGUGAAUUGCAGAAUUCAGUGAACCAUCGAAUCUUUGAACGCACAUUGCGCCCCCUGGUAUUCCGGGGGGCAUGCCUGUCCGAGCGUCAUUACAACCCUCAAGCUCAGCUUGGUGUUGGGCCCCGCCGCCCCGGCGGGCCCUAAAGUCAGUGGCGGUGCCGUCCGGCUCCGAGCGUAGUAAUUCUUCUCGCUCUGGAGGUCCGGUCGUGUGCUCGCCAGCAACCCCCAAUUUUUUUCAGGUUGACCUCGGAUCAGGUAGGGAUACCCGCUGAACUUAAGCAUAUCAAUAAGCGGAGGA
rnacentral:misc_RNA from 1 species